CUCACUCAGGUCGAGUCUGGAGAUAAUGUCACCUUGGUCUGCAGUGCCGCCAACACUACCAUCAACCUGUCAAUUACAACAUGGUUUCGAGAUGAAGCUCGAGUUUUGAAUAUAUUGACUACAAACAAUGACUGCUUUAUUCACCCACCCAACUCUACAGACAAUACUGCUGCGUAUCGUUAUGACCUGUACACAUCAAAGGGUGUCAGUGUAAGCUGUACUACCUUCCAGCACAACCUGACACUAACUACAACUGAAUACGUUGAAGUUGGGACCGUGUGGAGAUGUAAAGAUCAAAACUUCAGAAGUAGUAACAACCUUACGCCAGGAACAAUCUACGAGUCCGCUUCACCCCUGACUGAUCCAGUAACAUCAGUCACAAGCGUCCACAGUACUCAUGGUAGUCGCGUGCAAGUUAAACUAAUGUCUAUCUCCUAUUUAAGCAUUACACAUUUUAUUGAUGCUAGUUACAUAUGUACACCCAUGUCGACGUUAGCCAUUUAGCAGUAAGUAUCUGACAGUGCUAUAUGUAGCAUUCAUCUGACAUAUCUUACCCACGCGAUGUAGUUUUUAUGUCUGCAAGAUGUCUGAAACGUACUGUGAAGUACAGUUGUUGAAGUAUUCAAAAUGCAAAUGUAUGUUUCGUCAUCAGAUAUGAAUACAGACUUCUCAGGUUCUGCCUCUGAGUCGACUUCAUCACUGACUGAUUCACCAACAACGUUGGGAAUAUCUACAUCAAGAAAGACGACUCCAGACACACACAGCAAUAACCAAGAUGACAUCAUAUACAUCUCGGCUGGUGCAGGAGGUGGCGCCGUCAUCCUCACUAUCGUCGUUACGUGUGUCUGUUGUGUUAGGAGGAGAAGAAGGAGGAAAGCCAAACAAAGU